GCAUGUUCAGAUUAAAAGUUAUGAUUUAUUUACGAAAUUACCACCGCUUUUGCACAGUAAAAGGCCGCCCUCGCGUCAGUCAUCGUGGAUUGCUCUGUUCCGUCCGUUUCCAUUCCCUGUUCUUUUCCUUUCUUCUCCCCCACUCUCUCUGUAACCAUCCAUCAAAUCCCUCAUCCCUCCCUUUUCUCACUCUGUAAUUUCCCUCAAAUGCCUCACCGAUUCUCUUUUAGCCAUUCUCAGUCUCGCCAGCCGGCCCAGCCGUGAGGCGUUGGAGGUCGAUGAGGCGAUUGAUAUGGAGUCGCAGACCAUCAAGCAGAUGUUGGAGUUUUUGUUUGCUUGCGUCACCGUCACCGUCACCGUCACCGUCACGGGGGGCUUUGAGUUUUCUUUAAGUGGUUGCAGAGGGUUCGGGUAAUCAAGUAGAUGAGACAAAUGGCAAAACACGAAGAACUCCCAAUCCCAAUUCACAACACCCUCGACGCCGUCUACGGCGACUCCUCCCAUCUCGACGAGGCCCAGCUCCGAUUCCACCGGCUGAAGUCCAAGUUCCAGCAGGUCGGUCACCCUCCCCAACUCUUCUCUCGCUCUUCAGGGAGAGUAAACUUGAUCGGAGAGCACAUAGACUACGAGGGCUACUCAGUGCUGCCGAUGGCCAUACGACAGGACCCCAUUGUCGCAAUCCGGAAGCACGACGACGGAGAUGCCGAGAAAGUUCUCAGAAUCGCCAACGUCAACGACAAGUACUAAAUUUGUACUUAUCCGGCCGACCCGACCCAGGAAAUUGACUUGAAGAAUCACAAAUAGGGGCACUAUGUCAUUUUUGGGUACAAAUGUUUUUACGAAUUUGCCAAAUCGAAGGGAGAAGAUGUUGGACCAGUACUAUUUAAAUUCUGUUGGAGUUUGGGUUGCUGAUAUAUCGCUUACUAAGCCAUAUGCAGUGGAGGAAAGCCAGUUGCCUCACGGAGAGUGGAUUCUCCAAAUCAUCUUUUCACUAUCAUCUCUCUCAGUCAUGACUCAUGACUUAGGGAUCAAGCAAGCGUUUCACUUGCCAGGAGUGAUUGUCACCAUCUUUAUGACAUAAGUCAUUUCUCUAAGAAGCAUCCUUUCCCUUGUGAAAGUCAAUUCCAGAGGAAGAACUGUUCUGAUGUUGACGACUUAAAUUAACAAGCCUGUGCUGUUGACAUUUUCCCGUGUCAAAUAUAGAAGUCAUCAAACGUUUCUCAGGAUCAAUGCCACUUGGUGAGAGUGCUCGAUUGCGACCAAAUUUGGAAUUUUGGGUCGUUGGAGGAAGAAUUUGGUUGCUUGACAUUUUGAGGAAGAAAGAAUGAGGCUGUUGAAGCACAAAACUAAAGUUUACUUUUAUGCUCCUAGGCUGGAUCACCAGGGAGGUGACAUUGCAGGAAGAGAAUGUUGUAUAUGAAAGGGCAAUAUCGUGUGAAAACAAAAUACAAGAGAAAAUUCAAGAGCAGAUUUGCUGAAGAGGAAGCUAAUGGAGAUGGAAGAGAAUGAAAGGAAUUUGAGAUAUGAACUCGAAAAUGCACGAACCGCAUUGGAUGCCAGUUGAUCUGGUCAAUCAGAUGAAUCCAUUGCUGAUCCGAAGACGACAGUUGGAACCGAAAAUGACGUAGAAGCUUUAAAGAAGGCUAUACUUGAAAAAUUAGAGGAGAGGAAAAAAGAACUGGUCGGUUUCAUUUUUGCUUUCAAUCUUACAGUUGUUUCGUCUUCGUUCAUUGCAAAUGUGUUUGUAUUUUGAAUUUAUUUUAUCCCGAUUACUGAAAAGAUGAUGUGAUCUCUUAGAGUUCAAUGGAAGCACUCGAAUCGAUUGUGCGAAUUUUAUGAUAAAUUAUGCAGUUUUGGGUUUGAA